UACGUAGGGGGCAAGCGUUGUCCGGAAUCAUUGGGCGUAAAGCGUGUAGGCGGCCAGGUAAGUCCGUUCUGAAAGCCCGGGGCUCAACCCCGGGAGGCGGAUGGAUACUGCUUGGCUCGAGUCCGGAAGAGGCGAGUGGAAUUCCCGGUGUAGCGGUGAAAUGCGCAGAUAUCGGGAGGAACACCAAUGGCGAAGGCAGCUCGCUGGGACGGUACUGACGCUGAGACGCGAAAGCGUGGGGAGCAAACAGG
rnacentral:rRNA from 1 species